UACGAAGGGGGCUAGCGUUGUUCGGAAUCACUGGGCGUAAAGGGCGCGUAGGCGGCUUUGUAAGUCGGGGGUGAAAGCCUGUGGCUCAACCACAGAAUUGCCUUCGAUACUGCAUGGCUUGAGACCGGAAGAGGUAAGUGGAACUGCGAGUGUAGAGGUGAAAUUCGUAGAUAUUCGCAAGAACACCAGUGGCGAAGGCGGCUUACUGGUCCGGAUCUGACGCUGAGGCGCGAAAGCGUGGGGAGCAAACAGGG
rnacentral:rRNA from 1 species